rnacentral:rRNA from 1 species
GAUGAACGCUGGCGGCGUGCUUAACACAUGCAAGUCGAACGUGAGAGGAUAGCAAUAUUCUUGAAAGUGGCGCACGGGUGAGUAAUACGUAGGUAACCUGCCCUGGGAGUUGGGGGAUAACAACUAGAAAUGGUUGCUAAUACCGCAUGAAGCCAAGACACUGGGAAGUGACUUGGUAAAAACUCUGGUGCUUCAGGAGGGCCUACGGCCGAUUAGCUAGUUGGCGGGUAAGAGCCCACCAAGGCAGUGAUCGGUAGCUGGUCUGAGAGGACGGAUCAGCCACACGGGAACUGAGACACGGUCCCGACUCCUACGGGGGGCAGCAGUGAGGAAUAUUGGGCAAUGGGCGG